CAUGCAGGUCGAGGGGCAGCAUUUUAGUUUGCUUGCAAACUAAAGAUGGCGACCGGCGCACGGGCUGAGCUAACACGCUAUCCAACCUGCCGAUAACUCGGGGAUAGCCUUUCGAAAGAAAGAUUAAUAUCCGAUAGUAUAUUAAAACCGCAUGGUUUUACUAUUAAAGAAUUUCGGUUAUCGAUGGGGAUGCGUUCCAUUAGUUUGUUGGCGGGGUAACGGCCCACCAAGACUACGAUGGAUAGGGGUUCUGAGAGGAAGGUCCCCCACAUUGGAACUGAGACACGGUCCAAACUCAUACGGGAGGCAGCAGUGAGGAAUAUUGGUCAAUGGACGAGAGUCUGAACCAGCCAAGUAGCGUGAAGGAUGACUGCCCUAUGGGUUGUAAACUUCUUUUAUAUGGGAAUAAAGUAUUCCACGUGUGGGAUUUUUGUAUGUACCAUAUGAAUAAGGAUCGGCUAACUCCGUGCCAGCAGCCGCGGUAAUACGGAGGAUCCGAGCGUUAUCCCGGAUUUAUUGGGUUUAAAGGGAGCGUAGGUGGAUUGUUAAGUCAGUUGUGAAAGUUUGCGGCUCAACCGUAAAAUUGCAGUUGAAACUGGCAGUCUUGAGUACAGUAGAGGUGGGCGGAAUUCGUGGUGUAGCGGUGAAAUGCUUAGAUAUCACGAAGAACUCCGAUUGCGAAGGCAGCUCACUAGACUGCAACUGACACUGAUGCUCGAAAGUGUGGGUAUCAAACAGGAUUAGAUACCCUGGUAGUCCACACAGUAAACGAUGAAUACUCGCUGUUUGCGAUAUACAGUAAGCGGCCAAGCGAAAGCAUUAAGUAUUCCACCUGGGGAGUACGCCGGCAACGGUGAAACUCAAAGGAAUUGACGGGGGGCCCGCACAAGCGGAGGAACAUGUGGUUUAAUUCGAUGAUACGCGAGGAACCUUACCCGGGCUUAAAUUGCAUUUGAAUAAUCUGGGAAACAGGUUAGCCCCAANGGCAAAUGUGAAGGUGCUGCAUGGUUGUCGUCACCUCGUGCCGUGAGGUGUCGGCUUAAGUGCCAUAACGAGCGCAACCCUUAUCUUUAGUUACUAACAGGUCAUGCUGAGGACUCUAGAGAGACUGCCGUCGUAAGAUGUGAGGAAGGUGGGGAUGACGUCAAAUCAGCACGGCCCUUACGUCCGGGGCUACACACGUGUUACAAUGGGGGGUACAGAAGGCAGCUACCUGGCGACAGGAUGCUAAUCCCAAAAACCUCUCUCAGUUCGGAUCGAAGUCUGCAACCCGACUUCGUGAAGCUGGAUUCGCUAGUAAUCGCGNAUCAGCCAUGGCGCGGUGAAUACGUUCCCGGGCCUUGUNCNAAAGGGCCCGUCAAGCCAUGAAAGCCGGGGGUACCUGAAGUACGUACCGCAA
rnacentral:rRNA from 1 species